AUUGACCUUUAUUUGGUACUGUUCAUGGCUCUGCCUCUCACUGUGUGACCUUAGGCAAGUGAUUUGCCACUCUGUGCCUUAGUUUCCCCAGCUAUACAGUGGGGAUGAUAUUGACUUCACAGGGUGGAUGAGACUUAAUAUUUGUAAAGCACUUGGGCUGGGAUUGUUAGAGGAGCCUAAGGGGAUAAGUAAGGUGCCUAAUUCCCUUAGACUUUUCUGAAAGCCUUUGUUGGAGAUUUUUGGAAGAAAGGAGUUAGAGAAGGACAAACCCUUAUUACUGUAUUAAUUUUAGUGGGUAUAGCUUCUGCAUUAUUGGUGACUUGCUGCUGCUUACUCCUAAAGGUGGGAACAUCCUGCUGUGAAGGCUUUUACAAUCUUGUCUCUACUGUAACUUUUACAAAUCAAUUUUCUGACAUAGCUAUGGCAGGGUUGGAUGUGGUCUGGUUGCCAUGUUUUGGUCUGUGUAUCCUAAACCACUGUUGGUAUCUCUUCAUUUUAGGCUGAAAAUGGAAAUGAUGAGCUGGGAGGAAACAGUUGCUUUGAAGAAAUGGCACGUUCCAGAUAUGGGGCUCAGUGAGCUGAUUGUGGAGAGGCUGAGGAUGAAGACUGACUCCCCAGCCCCAUGAAAUGAUCGGGGCUGAAGUGGAAAAAUUAAGUACUGUAACUGAAUCUUGAAAAUGGUCUGUAAUGAAACAUCCUGGACCUGAGCCCCAAGGACUGUAGGGUUAUAAAGGAUGGAAAAGAGGAAGUAUCAGCAUUGCAGAUGGGAAACUGAGGUACAGAGAGCUGAAGACUGAAAUUUUCAAAGGAGCCCACUGGAGUUAGGUGAAGUUGGGAAGCCAGGGAGUCCAUGUUGCAACGUGAGGAAGUUGGGUAAGGAAGCAGCUAAAAUUCUCAAACACUUGAGGUCUCAGAGUCAUGGUGAUUGGUGUGUGGGAGGGGCAACCACAUUGCCACUUUUAGGACUAGGAGGGGUCUGCUGUGAUGAACUGCAUGUUCAGUCCGUGUUUCACCUGAUUUACCUUGAUUACACACAUGCCCAGAGCAGACUAAUGAAACAAACACCUGUAGCUGAAGUCUGAUUUGGGGGGAAGAAAUUGAUGUUCUAAUGGUUUCCAGUGCAACCAUAUGUAAAGUCCCAGACAGUGAGGGGAAUAAGUAGCAGAUCCAGGGGACCUCUUCAGAAACGUGGAUCUGGUUUCUGUGCAAAUGAAGAAGGAACAGAGACACAAGGAAGGGCAAGAACUCUGAAGACAAGAUUGGCUGGUUUCGCUUCUCCCUCCUCACCCUGGAUCCUUAUAGGAAUCACAGAUGGAUGAUUUGAGAUGAGCCCUAAAGGAAAGGAAAAUGUAUCUUUCUCUCCACCAGAAUCAACUGUAAGAGAGAAUUUGAGGCCUGAAGAUUAAAAGAUUUCCCCCAUCUCCGAUCUGCAUUACAAAGACUCUUUGAAGUUAUGUUCAGGAAAGGCUAUGCUAAAAACAGGAUAAAUAAUAAAACUAGAUUAAAUGGA